AAACCAAGAUGAUUAAGUCAUACAAUUAUCGGUUAAAAGAUAGUUAAGUAGGUUGGAAAGUUUAUUAAAUUGUUAUUUAGAGGUAAAAUUUGUAAAUAACCUAGAAAUCUAAUUACAACUAGUGUACUGAAGCUGUGAUAGCCUUGGGAGAAACUGGGAUUAGAUACCCCAUUAUUCUCGGAUAUAAAAAAAUAAAAAUUUACCAGAGUACUACGGAUUAAGUAUGUUUAAAACUCAAAGGGCUUGGCGGUGUUUUAGACUUUUCAGGGGAACCUGUCUCAUAAUCGACAAUCCACGAUAUACCUGACCUUUAUUUGCUUUCAAUUUGUAUACCGUCGUCGGCAGGUAACUUUUAAGAAGAAAGAAGUUAGCGAGUAGGCUAAUAAAAUAAGCCCUUACGUCAGAUCAAGGUGCAGUCAACAUAAAGGAGAGGAUGGGUUACAAUUAUAAAAUACAUAAUGACGAAAUGGUUAUUUGAAAAAUAACUGUGAAGGAGGACUUGAAAGUAAAAUAGAUUACAUAAAUAUUUUGAAUUAAGCUCUGAAGCGUGC
rnacentral:rRNA from 1 species